rnacentral:rRNA from 1 species
AAAUUGAAGAGUUUGAUCAUGGCUCAGAUUGAACGCUGGCGGCAGGCCUAACACAUGCAAGUCGAGCGGUAGCACAGAGAGCUUGCUCUCGGGUGACGAGCGGCGGACGGGUGAGUAAUGUCUGGGAAACUGCCUGAUGGAGGGGGAUAACUACUGGAAACGGUAGCUAAUACCGCAUAACGUCGCAAGACCAAAGUGGGGGACCUUCGGGCCUC